rnacentral:sRNA from 1 species
AAUAAAGUAAAACUCAAAAAAACAAACAUAUUUUCUCUAAUAAUAGCCUUGUUAUUAAUUAUUAUUAUUUUUAACCAAAGGUUAUAAAUAAAUUUAUAAUCAUCCAAAAAGAACUUUGAAUUAUAUUUAUUUUGAAUUAAAAUUAGAUUUUCUUAAAAAAAGCUAUGAAUACAAAUGAGUUGUAGGUGAUAUAAAAUAUAAAUGGGAGAUGAAAUCAUUUUUCUUAUAGAAAUGGAGUUACAUUGUAGAAUCGUUGUUUGUGGAAAAUGUUCAUCAUAUUUGUAUAGAGUACUGCAAGUAGAUGUGUCCAAAUAGUUAAUCAUAUUAUUGGUAAAGGUAAGGCUAAAGAUUGUGGAACCUUGUUUUUCGUAAAAUUUAUGAAGGUUGUUUUUGUGGGGAAAAUAUGGUAUGAUGAUGAUGAUGAUGACGGUGGCGUUAAUAAUAUGAUGAUAUGAUAGUAUGAAGAUAAUUAUGAU